ensembl:lncRNA
CAUCAUCAUCAUCAUCAUCAUCGCUUCUACUUCUCCCAAAUAAGCACAACUCCUGGUCUACUCCAGCUUCUCCUCCAGCAGGAUUUCCAGCUUCCACUGUGAUCACUGUGUCUGUAAUUCUGCUGCUGCUUCUGACUGGAGUCAUAUUCCUCAUUGUGAUUCUACAUAAGAGACGCAGGACGCAAAGCCCAGGAACAAUGACACCAACUUACAGAGAGACAAAUGGAGAUUAUGAAAAUGACCCAAAUGUGCUCCAUUUCCAGUCAAGACAAAUGACCAACCAAUCAGAUUCGGUCUAUCAAAGUCUGAACCCCGACACCAACCAAUCAGAUUCGGUCUACCAAAGUCUGAACCCCAACACCAACCAAUCAGAUUCGGUCUAUCAAAGUGUGAACCCCAACACCAACCAAUCAGAUUCAGUCUAUCAAAGUCUGAACCCCAACACCAACCAAUCAGAUUCAGUCUAUCAAAGUCUGAACCCCAACACCAACCAAUCAGAUUCAGUCUACCAAAGUCUCAAGUGUUAAACCGACCAGUUGGACACAGUUGGAGUCAGAAAUUGCCCUCUAACCAAUGAGAUUGUUGCUGCCAGAUUCUCUAUUAAACUGGACUGGCCUCUCAUUUGAAAAUUAUUCUAGUUUCAAACUAAACUGUGGAAUAACCUGUCAAGAUCAGAUAAUGUAAAUGAAUAGUUUUUCAAAAAGCCAGUUUAUCGCUGUUCAGAAGUUUGCUAUAUGCUUGGAAACCAGCACAU